GGAAUAUGUUAUGGAACUCUGUGUUACUGUCGUAUGCAGCUGACUUUAAGAUGAAAAGCUUGCAGAGAGAGUUCAUUGAGAUGCGUGGCGCUGGUGUCUCUCCUGACCUUACCACAUUUAACAUCCGUGCUCUUGCGUUUUCUAGGUUGGCUCUUUUCUGGGAUCUGCAUCUUACGCUUGAACAUAUGAGAGUUUUUGACAUUGUUCCGGAUCUGGUGACUUUUGGAUGUGUGGUCGAUGCGUACAUGGAUAAGAGGCUAGCGAGGAAUUUGGAAUUUGUAUACAACCGAAUGAACCUGGACGACUAUCCUGUUGUUUUAACUGAUCCACUUGUCUUUGAAGUACUGGGGAAAGGAGAUUUCCAUCUUAGCUCAGAAGCUGUUUUGGAGUUUGGUCAACGGAGAAACUGGACGUAUAGAAAACUAAUUGGAGUUUAUCUCAAAAAGAAGUUGCGAAGAGACCAGAUUUUCUGGAAUUACUAGCCACCUGACGUGCCACCUCUUUGCCGCAGCGUGAUAAACUUAUCAGAUGCUUAAAACACUGAGGUUAGAGAGUGAUUGUGCAACUAGAUUUUGUUAAAUGGUGUUGUAUAUGCAGUGUGUUUUAUUUAUAUUUUGUUUGGUGUGGACAGUUAGUUUAGCAUGUCUGUGAAGCCACACUUAUUGGUUACAAAGCUAUCCUUGUUGCAAUAUAUUAUUGUGUUUCCGACACCCUGAUAGGUAAUUCGAAGAGGCCAAAUGAACUGCUGAUAUGGACAAGAAAUAAAGAGAGAGACUGGUGGACUUGGAAGGUUUUCGGUUGAAGAAGACUCACGACGAAGGCCUAGAUAUAAAUAGAGUUCUUCAUUUGUUCUUCAUGCUUUGAAUGUUGUUGUAGACAGACCCUAUGAGUCUUCUCUCUCAGUCGCCAUGAGAAAGAUGAUUCAUGUUAUGUUCGCCAUGAGAGUGUAGCUUCGAAGCUGUAUCGUUUUCUUAUUGAAUUGCUAGUUCCGUGAGUUAGAGAUAUCCAAACUCUAUCACACUGAUAAGCCAUUGAGAGCUUAUGUGAGACAGACUAGGAGAGACCUGGGGAAUAUGUUAUGGAACUCUGUGUUACUGUCGUAUGCAGCUGACUUUAAGAUGAAAAGCUUGCAGAGAGAGUUCAUUGAGAUGCGUGGCGCUGGUGUCUCUCCUGACCUUACCACAUUUAACAUCCGUGCUCUUGCGUUUUCUAGGUUGGCUCUUUUCUGGGAUCUGCAUCUUACGCUUGAACAUAUGAGAGUUUUUGACAUUGUUCCGGAUCUGGUGACUUUUG
rnacentral:lncRNA from 1 species